rnacentral:lncRNA from 1 species
CUUUCGUCAAGGAGCAGAAGGAAGCAAGAUGGCUGCCCUUUAGGAUUGGGUAGGAGGCAGAGCCCAGCGCGUCGGACAGACGGACGGACGGGGGAGGAGGAGGAAGAGGAGGGCGGCCCAGGCCCAGAGAUGCGGGACAAGAAAGCUCAUUUUUGGAAGUCGUGCACAAAACUGAAAACGGGGCCAUAUGAAUGAAACAAACAGAAACAGAUACAGUAAGAGGGCAACCUUGUGG